AGGUGGGGGACAACCAUUGGAAACGAUGGCUCAUGACCGCAUAAUGUCUACCGACCAAAGGGGGCUUCGGCUCUCGCCUUUAGAUUGGCCCAAGUGGGAUUAGCUAGUUGGUGAGGUAACGGCUCACCAAGGCGACGAUCCCUAGCUGGUUGAGAGGAUGAUCAGCCACACUGGAACUGAGACACGGUCCAGAUUCCUACGGGAGGCAGCAGUGGGGAAUAUUGCACAAUGGGCGCAAGCCUGAUGCAGCCAUGCCGCGUGUGUGAAGAAGGCCUUCGGGUUGUAAAGCACUUUCAGUCAGGAGGAAAGGUUAGUAGUUAAUACCUGCUAGCUGUGACGUUACUGACAGAAGAAGCACCGGCUAACUCCGUGCCAGCAGCCGCGGUAAUACGGAGGGUGCGAGCGUUAAUCGGAAUUACUGGGCGUAAAGCGUACGCAGGCGGUUGAUUAAGCGAGAUGUGAAAGCCCCGGGCUUAACCUGGGAACUGCAUUUCGAACUGGUCAACUAGAGUGUGAUAGAGGGUGGUAGAAUUUCAGGUGUAGCGGUGAAAUGCGUAGAGAUCUGAAGGAAUACCGAUGGCGAAGGCAGCCACCUGGGUCAACACUGACGCUCAUGUACGAAAGCGUGGGGGAGCAAAACAGGAUUAGAUACCCUGGUAGUCCACGCCGUAAAACGAUGUCUACUAGGAGCUGGGGUCUUCGGACAACUUUUUCCAAAAGCUAAACGCAUUAAAGUAGACCGCCGGGAAGUACGGCCGCAAGGGUAAAACUAAAUGAAUUGACGGGGGGCCCCGCAAGCGGGUGGGAGCCAUGUGGUUUUAAUUUCGAAUGCCAACCGCGAAAGAACCCUUUACCCUACCACUUUGAACAUUACCAGAAGAAACUUUACCCAGAAGAAUGGGUUUUGGUGCCCUUUCCGGGAAACUCUGAAUACAGGGUGCCUGCAUGGGCUUGUCCGUCAGCUUCCUGUGUUGUGAAGAUGUUUGGGGUUUAAAGUCCCGCCAAACGAGCGCCAAACCCCUUUAUUCCCUUUAGUUGCCAGCGAUUCGGUCGGGAACUCUAAGGAGACUGCCGGUGAUAAACCGGAGGAAGGUGGGGACGACGUCAAGUCAUCAUGGCCCUUACGUGUAGGGCUACACACGUGCUACAAUGGCAUAUACAGAGUGCUGCGAACUAGCGAUAGUAAGCGAAUCACUUAAAGUAUGUCGUAGUCCGGAUUGGAGUCUGCAACUCGACUCCAUGAAGUCGGAAUCGCUAGUAAUCGCGGAUCAGAAUGCCGCGGUGAAUACGUUCCCGGGCCUUGUACACACCGCCCGUCACACCAUGGGAGUGGGUGCUCC
rnacentral:rRNA from 1 species